rnacentral:rRNA from 1 species
GAUGAACGCUGGCGGCGUGCUUAACACAUGCAAGUCGAGCGAGAAGUUUUGAAAAGAUUCUUCGGAUGAAAUUUAAAAUGGAAAGCGGCGGACGGGUGAGUAACGCGUAGGCAACCUGCCCCAUACAAAGGGAUAGCAUUUGGAAACGAAUAUUAAUACCUUAUGAAACUUAACUAGUGCAUGCUAGGUAGGUCAAAGAUUUAUCGGUAUGGGAUGGGCCUGCGUCUGAUUAGCUAGUUGGUGAGGUAACGGCUCACCAAGGCGACGAUCAGUAGCCGACCUGAGAGGGUGAACGGCCACAUUGGAACUGAGACACGGUCCAAACUCCUACGGGAGGCAGCAGUGGGGAAUAUUGCACAAUGGGGGAAACCCUGAUGCAGCAACGCCGCGUGAACGAUGAAGGCCUUUGGGUCGUAAAGUUCUGUUCUAGGUGAUGAAAACUGACAGUAACCUAGGAGA